rnacentral:rRNA from 1 species
ACGUUUCGAAAGGAACGCUAAUACCGCAUACGUCCUACGGGAGAAAGCAGGGGACCUUCGGGCCUUGCGCUAUCAGAUGAGCCUAGGUCGGAUUAGCUAGUUGGUGAGGUAAUGGCUCACCAAGGCUACGAUCCGUAACUGGUCUGAGAGGAUGAUCAGUCACACUGGAACUGAGACACGGUCCAGACUCCUACGGGAGGCAGCAGUGGGGAAUAUUGGACAAUGGGCGAAAGCCUGAUCCAGCCAUGCCGCGUGUGUGAAGAAGGUCUUCGGAUUGUAAAGCACUUUAAGUUGGGA